rnacentral:rRNA from 1 species
AGGACGAACGCUGGCGGCGUGCUUAACACAUGCAAGUCGAGCGGUAAGGCCUUUCGGGGUACACGAGCGGCGAACGGGUGAGUAACACGUGAGCAAUCUGCCCUUCACUUUGGGAUAACCUCCGGAAACGGUGGCUAAUACCGAAUGCGACCACUCCACGCAUGUGGUGGUGGUGGAAAGUUCUGGCGGUGGAGGAUGAGCUCGCGGCCUAUCAGCUUGUUGGUGAGGUAAUGGCUCACCAAGGCUUCGACGGGUAGCCGGCCUGAGAGGGUGACCGGCCACACUGGGACUGAGACACGGCCCAGACUCCUACGGGAGGCAGCAGGUGGGGAAUAGUUGGACAAGUGGGACGAAAGCCUAGAUCCAGCAACGCCGCGUGAGGAUGAAUGCCGUUGGGUUAGUAAACCUUCUUUACGAGUUGGGACUAAGGCGAAAAGUGACGGUACCCGACAGAAAGAAGCAACCGGCCAACUACGU